ACUUAUUAGUCCUAAUAGUCUUUGUAUGUUGAAUCUUGUAGGUUUUCUCUGUACAAGAUUAUCUCUUUUGUGGGAAAAAAAAAGUUUUUUCACUUCUUUCUUCCCAACUGAGGUUCAUUUAUUUCUUUUUCUUGACUAUUCUGGCUAGAACUGUAAAGUGGCAAAAGUGAACUUCGAGCCUUUUCCUGAGAGGAAAUGCUUUCAGUUUGUGCCACUGAGUAUGAUGUGCAGGUUCUUAUUCCACAAAUUUGGUAGAGUGCUUUUACUUGGAUCCUGACACUCGCUUGAUAUACCAGCAGGAGAAAAGACAAGCAUGUAGAUUAUUUCCUCCCUUGGACUGCAGGAGAGAUGGUUCCAGUGGCUGAGACAUCACCUCCUCCUACUCUCCACCAAUGGCAGGAAAGGGGAUUCCAUUACAAUUCCUCUUCUGUUCACAACACAG